rnacentral:lncRNA from 1 species
GCAGAAUUGAGUUUUGGACCCUUCAUGAAAGUUUUAGGUCUAUGUCUUAUCUUUCCAUCCAUAUAAAGUGGACCUAAAUCCGAGUUCUACAACUCCAGUUAUGAUCAAAUAACCGAAUAGUGUUCCAGUUUGGAAUUGAACCAGCAUCUCUUCUCUUAGCCUAAUCCUCUUUUUGUCUCUUCACUUUCAAUUGUUAAUCACAGCAAUCAAUCCUUUGAAUUGUGAGAUAUACCUGCAUUCAAAACAAGCAUUUACCAUAAAUUCAAGAUAUAUUAUUUUAUUAGACUUGUUAUUAUAAAACAUGCUUUAGUUAGGGAAUUUAACGAUACUUUAGUGCAAUACGAUGAUAUAAAGCCUUAAUGAGAAUGCACUUUUAAGUACUAAUCACACCCCCCAACCAGCUUAUUACUAGUCCCUAGUAAUCAAAGCGUUAAAAUACAAAAACAAUUUGCAAGUUCCACAAAGCAAGGUAUUUAUCAUUUAACUUCCAUUAAUCUAUCCAAAUAAACAAACUCUCAUUAAAUUUAUAUAUUUGCUUCAUACUUCUUAAACAAGAUAUUAAUAAACCUUCUUUUUGUGCUCAGUAAAUCAAAACAUAGCUAUGGAGCUUUUCAUGGAAGAAAACAAAAUUUUUGUUCCAAUGUUUAAGGUUAACUUCCUUGGGUUGGGAUUAUUAUCUCUUUUGUUUUUUUUUUUUUUUUUUUUUUUUUGAAAGCAAGAAUUUAUAAUACAAUGUAUCUUGAACCCAUGUAACGAGCUUUUAGCUAAUGACUCCCAGACCAGUUGGUCUUAGGGCAUCAGGUGUUGAGACACCCCUACGAGCUUAGUAACUCGGGUUGCAGAUACUGACACGUAGAUAGUGCAAUGUUUGAUUCCCUUAAGCUUUUCUCCUUAACUCAUGUAACAAGCACUGGGCCAAUAGCUCCCAAGUCAGUUGACUUUAGGGUACUAGGUGUUAAAACACCCCUUCGGGCUUAAUUGCUUAAGUCAAGGAGGCUACGAAACCAAACUUAUCUACUUUUUUAUUUAUUUAUUUGUUUUUUUUUUUGGUUUUUUUUUUUUUGGUUUUUUUUUGGUUUUUUUUUUUUUUUUAUAUAUAUACUGUCCCUUUCCCUUAGUUGUUACCUUUAACAAAAGAACAUAAAUAAUGUAAUAAUCCAAUAUGCAACCCACAAUCAUAUGUUAAAGUGUGUGUGUGAAAAUGAAGGUUUAAGAAUACUUGUUAAAUAAGUAUAUGAGCAGAAUUAAGUGAUAACAAUGCGAGAGUUUGUAAAUCUGAAUAUUUCAAGAAGUAUUAUAAUAGACCUUGUUAAGAAUGUUUACUAAGAUGCGUCUCAAGAGUCACUAAAGUUCAUCCUUUACUCUGCCAUCCUAGUAACAACAGGUUUGCAAAUGGUUGUAAUAAUAGAAAACACAGUUAGUUAAUAUUUUUUUUUUUUUUUGUAAUAUCAACUACUACCCUCUCCCCCCAACCAAAACGAGACAUUGUCCUCAAUGUUGUAAGGUAGAAAGAUAGAGUAUAGAAGACAUCACCUGAAACAGCGACUACUGACAAACCUGAAACACACUUAAACAAAUACAAGAAACAACAAAACACAAAUAAUAUACCAUUAAUAAAACCAAAAGACACAAUAUUUCACAAACUAAGGCUCAAAUCCAAUCUAAGCUUUUUACGGCGUUCCGUGAUUGACCAAUUAAGUCGAUUCAUAGAGGAAUCAACUACAGGGAUGAAAGAUUGAAGUUCAUCAAUCAAUUGUUCAGCAGUAGCAGCAGAGAUGAGGAUUUGUCGCGCUGAAAAUGUUAGAAAUUGUUGUUCCACAGCAUGAUCAAGAAAAGACAGUAAAGUAUUAUAAAAACCAUUAACAUUUAGCAAACCUAUAGGUUUCAGGUGAAUGUUCAGCUGAGCCCAAGAUGAAAUAUGAAAUAUCUCUUCUAAAGUUCCCAAACCACCUGGUAAAGCAAUAAAGGCAUCAGCAUGGUUAAACAUUACAGAUAGUCGUUCAGACAUUGUGGAGACCUGUAGUUCCUCUCCGACUGUUUUUCCAAUGAUGUCCCCUUCGGCUAAAGCUUUGGGGAUGACCCCCAAAACUUGACUGCCUCCUAAAAAUGCAGCUAUUGAAACACUCCCCAUUAACCCAAGGCUACCUCCCCCAUACACUAAAUGAAUCUUUCUCUCAGCUAGUACCCGACCAAGAUGAUUUGCUGAUUCUAAAAACUCCUUUUCUUUCCCAGGAUUGGAUCCACAAAAAACACAAAUAGUUUUUAUUUUAGGAACAGAGGAACUGGCCAUUUCUACACACUUCUAUAUCUAUUAAAUGAAUGGGUAGAGUAGAAAUGAUGGGAAGGAAGAGAAGAUUUUAUAGAUGAGAAAUUGAAAAUGCAAUCAUACCACCUAUAUGUAGGCUAGCUGGAGUCUCACUCUCUCUCUCUCUCUCUGUUUUUUUUUUUUUUUUGAAAAAGCAUGUGUAUGUACAAGCAGCUGUGAUUGUGGCUCACAUCUUCCCUUGGUUUUACGUCCAAGAACGGCUUAAACGCCCUCUAUGGGUCGGGGAUAGGCUUCCCAUCCAGUUUUCUUAAAAACUGACAAACAGGGUCUUUUUUAGUCAGAUUCCCAAGACUAAGUCGAUCAUGUUCUUUAUGAAAAUGAGGCCAUAAAUCAUGAAUUGCACGAUGCAUAUCUCCACUAUGAUGAGACUUAAGAGUCAAUAGAAGAUUAACUAAAGACUCUCGAUGCUUUGAAAUAAAUCCCACCUUUUGACAUUUUUCACAGGUUUUGCAGAAUGCAUGUGAGUCUUUGAACAUGGUGGGCCAAUAAAAUCCACUUUGUAAGAUUUUUGCAGCUGUCUUCUUUGAUGAGAAAUGACCCCUACAUGUUUCAGAAUGACAAAAUUUAAUAACACUACUUACCUCAUUGUCGGGAAUGCAUCUUCGAAAUAUUUUAUUGGGACAAUAUUUGAAUAAGUAAGGGUCAUCCCAAUAAAAUUUCUGCACGUUGCUCAAAAACUUUCCUUUGUCUUCGGUACUCCAGUGAGCUGGGAAAUCUCCUGUUGCAAGAAAAUUGAUAUGAUUAGCAAACCAAGGCAUUGGACUACGAGAAAGUAAGGAUUAACCAGGAAAGUAUUUCUCAAUUGGUGUGAUGUCAGAUGUCGAAUCUAUUGUCAAUUUUGACAAAUGAUCCGCGACAAUAUUUUCGGUGCCUUUUUCAUCCUCGAUUUCUUCUUGUUUGAAAGUUUCAAAAAUUUCAGAAUCGUGAUUGACUUCUCUUUGCUUGGUCAUGGCAUGAGGAAAUGGAAGUACUGGUGGGGAAUCAGUCUUUUCUUUGCAAUAUUCAGGUUUAACCCCUUCCUUACCCUCAGAGAUUGACUCAUCAUCUUUCUCACAAGGUUCAAGAAUUGGUUUUUCAAUAACCUUACCACCGUGGAGAGUAAUGAUUGAUUUGACUUGAUCCAUGUGUUGGCUUCCAGAACUACUUGCAUUUGAAUUGUAUUGCCCUUUGGGAUUUUGCUGUGGUUGAGAUGAGAACUUACCUUUCUCAUGAAAAUUAAGAGCAGAUGUGAAUUUUGCAAGAGUAUCUUUUAGAUCUGUCAUGGUUUGAGCAUUUUGAGAGUUGAUUGUCUCUUGCUUUUCAAUGAAUGCAUGCAGUGUUUCCUCAAGAUUUCUUCUAGGAGGGGGAAUAUAAGGAGGUGCAUAUCCAUGAGAAUUUUGAAAAUUAUGUUGUGCUUGAAAUGGUGGCUGUGAAGUUUGUGCAUUAUUGUUACCACUCUUCCAACUGAAAUUUGGAUGAUUUCUCCAACCAGGGUUGUACGUUUGCGAGUAUGGGUUAUGACUUGGCCUUUGGAAACUAUUUAAAGCAUUGGCUUGUUCAUGGAGACACUCCUUAAAAGAAGGCAAAGUUGGACAAUCAUUGGUUGAGUGUUCAUUAGUUUCACAAAUUUGACACACAAUUUCUUGAACAGAUUUUAUUUGACCACUCUUUUUUAAUUCUAGUGCCUCAACUUUUCUAGCUAAAGAUGCAAAUUUGGCUUGGAGGUCAUGAUCUUCCCUAAGGUUGUACAUGCCUCCAUUAGAUGUAUGAGGUUGAGUUUUACCUGGUGCCUCACACGUACCUGUGGUGUCCCAAUUUUGAGCAUUUUCAGCUAGCAAGUCAAGGUAUUCCAUUGCUUGAUCAGGGUCUUUAUCUUCAAAAGUUCCAUUGCACAUCAAUUCCACCAUUUGUCUAUCUUUAGGUGUUAACCCUUCAUAAAAUUGUGAGACCAAUCUCCAUGUUUCAAAACCAUGAUGAGGACAGGUAUUAAGCAAGUCUUUAUAUCUAUCCCAACACUUGUAAAAUGUUUCUCCUGGUUUUUGAGUGAAAGUGGUGAUUUGUCUUUUGAAAGAGUUUGUUCUGUGAGAUGGAAAAAACUUCUUUAAAAAUUGUUGUUGCAUUUCAUCCCAAGCACGAAUGGAUCCUGACCUAAUAUUUUGUAGCCAUGUUUUAGCUUUAUCUUUUAAUGAAAAAGGAAAAAGCUUUAAUCUGAUGGUGUUCAUGCUACAAUUUAAGUCAUUAUAGGUGUUACAAACUUCUUCAAAUUCUCUUAAAUGCAAAUAUGGAUUUUCUAAUUCUAAGCCAUGAAAAGUGGGUAAAAGUUGAAUAAUACGUGGCUUAAAAUUAAAAUGAGAAGCAUCAGGAGGAAAAACUAUACAUGAUGGUGCACUUGUUCUUGUUGGAUUCAUGUGGUCUCUAAGUGUUCUCACAUGAUUAUUCUCAUUAUUCUCAUUAUGAAUUGACUGGUUAUCUUCUUCGGCCAUGUUUUCUAAAGAAAUUGAGGAUUUCCUAGAAAGUCUACCACUUAAUGUACGUGUCCAAACUCUCAUGCAAGUGCAAAAGAAAAGAAAAGAAAAAGAAAAAGAAAAAGAACAAAAUUAGAAAAACAAAUAAAAGUAAAGAAAAACAAAAGAAAAUAAAAGAAAUAUAAAAUUGAUACAAUACUUACCUCCCCGGCAACGGCGCCAAAAACUUGACACGACCAAAAGAUUGAUGUCUUCUCCCAAGUGCAGGAGUGUCGAAGUAAUAAAUAACCCGGCAAGACCGGGGUCGAACCACAGAGAGGUUAAUUGUAUAAAUUAUAAAUAACAAUGCAACAACAACAACAACAAUAAUAAUAACAAUAAUAAUAAUAAUAGUAAUAAUAAUAAUAAUAAUAAUAAUAAUACUCAGUACGUGGCGUUGUUAUACCUGAGAAUGAUCUAAAAGAUCGGGUCACAGGUUUCCAGCCUAUAUACUGAUUUUAUGAAAAGAUCAAAGAGAUAUAUUAUAUAAUAUAAACAGAUUUCUGAUGUGAAUGAAUAAGGCAAGACCAACAAUGUCAGGAUCCUUGAUCAAACACAGAGCAUACUUAACGUACGUAACAUAUAACAAGAAUGUAAAUAAUAAUAAUAAUAAUAAUAAUAAUAAUAAUAAUAGUAAUAAUAAUAUUAAUAGUAGUAGUAGUAGUAGUAGUAGUAGUAAUAAUAAUAAUAAAAAGAAGAAGAGGAAGAAAUUAAUGAGAACUUUGAGAUGGGAGAUUAAUGUAAGGAUUAAACAAUGAUAAAAACAAAUGUCAAGGUUAGAGAAUUCACUAAUGGUAUUUCAAAUAAAUAUAAUAUAAACUCUUUUUAUUACUCAACUAGAAACCACACACAAAGGAGGUUCUAAUCGGAUGAUUUAUCAUUAAUGGCUCAUUAUAAAGUAUUAACAUGAUCAUAUUAAUUAUCUUGUCUAAGUAACACCAUACUUAUAAAUAUCAUCAGGCAUUCAUGUUGCUAGCUUAUGUUAACAACAAAUCAAGUUCCUAUCAUAACAACGAUGUCGGCCGAAAACUAUGAAGGAUCAAGCAUUUGAUGUACCAAGUGUUAUACAACACAAAUCUAGAUUAACCAUUUAACAAGCAAGGUAUUAAGAAUUAGUAAGAUAAAAAGAUAAGACAUGCUAAUAACAAUUUUUCUUGAAUAUAAACAUUAAAGUCCGUGUUGAGUUUAUAUUAUACAUAUUCUAACACCAUUAGUAAAACCUUUUCACCUUGACAUAAUUAACUUAGCUAAACAUAAUGAAGAAGAAAAACAUAAAUAAACAACAUAAGAACAUAAACAUGAUAUAAGUUAACUAAUUAUAGGAAAGGAAAUGGAAAAGCAUAAACAAGAGAUUAAUAUAACAUGAAAGAAAACUUGAACAUUACAAAGAUAUAAAGAGAGAAAGCAAGAACAUGAUUUUGAUCUGAAAAUAAUAUAUCUAAAUACAUGGCAAAUGCCUCCUUUUAUAGGCUAAGAUUCAGAACUAUUGAUUGGUGGACUAAGAAAAUAGUUGGUGGCCAACCAUUGAUUUGGUGGCUGGUUUUUGACAUUAUUGGCUGCUGGUUCUUGAAAUUGUUGGCAGAUUUUUGAUAUUGUUGGCUGGCCAAAACGUCAUUGCUAACAUCAGAAUUUGAGCCCUUUGUUCCAUGAAAGCUGUGGGAAAUUGUCUCAGCUUUCCAACAAAAAAAACCAGAGCUCAUUUGGACUUCUAGAACUCAAGAUAUGAGCUGAAAACCGAACAGUGUUUGAGCUGCAGGACAGGUUCCGACUUCUCCGUUGUUGCUAAUAUUUGAACUUGAAAAUGGCAGAAUUGAGUUUUGGACCCUUCAUGAAAGUUUUAGGUCUAUGUCUUAUCUUUCCAUCCAUAUAAAGUGGACCUAAAUCCGAGUUCUACAACUCCAGUUAUGAUCAAAUAACCGAAUAGUGUUCCAGUUUGGAAUUGAACCAGCAUCUCUUCUCUUAGCCUAAUCCUCUUUUUGUCUCUUCACUUUCAAUUGUUAAUCACAGCAAUCAAUCCUUUGAAUUGUGAGAUAUACCUGCAUUCAAAACAAGCAUUUACCAUAAAU